AUGAUCUGCGACGCAAGAGCAGUGGGCGCAACGUCCGAGGAUGUUGUUGCCUUCCGCCCCCCAAUGGUCGGGUCUGACCUGCGGGAAGCAAGGGCAGUCGCAGCCAGCGCAGCAGCGGUGGGUGGCGGUGCCGAAGAAUCUGUAGUCGCAAGCUCGGGGGAGAGCGAGUGUGGCGGCGACGGACGCGGGAUUUGUGGCGCAGAUUGUUGGAGCAGAGCCGGUGUCGUCGCCGGGACGACGUUGCCAACGGCAAUCGCGUGGACGCACGGAAGAGACUGUGGCGUGGACUCCAGUUCCAGAAUGGAUGCUUCACUUGAUGGAAUGCUGCUGGAGAAGCCGAAUGGGGUCGAACCACCGGGGACGACGGCGGGCGGCGGCCGCAGCUUCACCACGAGCUUGGAGGUGGCUGGAGGGGCGGCGUCCGACGAGGCCGCAGGGGCCGUUGCCGGCGCGGGGGAGCCGCCUGGUCGCGGGCAUCGGCUUGGCCAAGGAAGCAUCCUCUGCCCAUUGGUAUCCGCGCCCAGCGCGGCCGGAGCAGCAGCCGGCGCCGAUGACGAUGGGGGUGCCGAGCAUGGUGGAGCGCAGGAGGCCGAGAGAGAGGCGGACGGGGCUGGGGAGGCCGCGGCUGCCGCCGCCGACGGUGGCGCAGAAGCCGGCUUCGGGCGUGGAGGAGGAGCCAUAGCGGAGGGAGCCACCGCGGGAGAAGAGCAGCCGCCGAGAGAGGACGUCGAGGGGAUCCCGGAUCUGGUCGCAGCUGCUGAAGGGGAGGUCGGAGAAGGGAGAUCGGGGCAGCGCCGCCGCGCGCUCACCCGUCUUCCGCGAGGACUUCGCACCCCUGCCUAUAAUACAUGCAGCGUCCCCUCGAUACGAGGUAAGACGUCUUUUCGCUUCGUACAUGGUAGUCAGAGCUUCUCCUUUUCCCAUCGAGAGCCUCUGUCGAACCCAUCCAUCCAAGCCAUGUCUUCCUCCGGCUCCUUCUCGCCUAGCCUCAACAACCAGGUCACAGAGAAGUUAUCACGCACGAACUAUGUGCUGUGGCGCACGCAGAUCACACCUCAGCUGCGCGGUGCCGGCGUCUUCGACUACAUCGACGGCACCAAUCCGGAGCCGGCCAAGCUCCUCGUCACCACCAAGGAAGGCAAGGAGACUUCAUCGCCCAACCCUCUCCACCCUAUAUGGGUACGGGAGGAUCAGCAGGUCCUUGGCUACCUGCUGAACAACCUCACGAAGGAGGUCCUGGUCACGGUGACCACGGUCACCACGGCGGGCGCGCUCUGGACGACGCUCGCGGCCAUGUUCUCGAUGCACGCGCAGGCACUACUGUCGAACCAGCCGAUCUGGCAGAGCAGCGGCGGGGCGCCGGGUCCGGAUCUCCCCACGGGCUGCGAGACUGCCGCCAGCGGCGGCGAGAAGACGCGGCUCCUCGUCCCCGUCGCCGGCGGGAUCGUCGAGCUCUUCGCGUCGAGAUAUAUGGCGGAGCUGGUCAUGGCGCAGUGCGGUGGCGGUGGGCAGGGGUGGCAGGAGAUGGAGCCGCCGUCGACGGUGGCGCGGGAGCAUCAGCAGCUGCACGGCUCGGGCGUGGGGAGGGCAGAUUCGGGGUCGGAGGUGAGCGACAUGCAGCUGGGGGACGCCAACGACGACGUCGACGGCGAGACGCAGAGGGGCUCCGGCAAGGACGGCGGCCGGAAGCAGCAGCAGUGCAAGAACCUCGAGGCGGAGCUGAAGCGGCGCAAGAAACUCACCGACCGCCUCUACAAGCUCCGCCCUCGUCCCCAACAUCACCAAGAGCAUUCAGUGAAUAUUCUUAUGAUGUUGCUCUGCCAUCUUUCUCAACUACCAGCAGACAAGGAGCAAAAUGGUUGA
rnacentral:rRNA from 1 species